CCUAAAGCAUGGCCACUGGAGAGCGGGGAGUCCUGAGGUCUCCUUCAUCCCCCUACAACACAAAAGCCGCUCCGACAUGGUGAAUGUGGUGAACAUGGUGAACGGGUGGUGGUAGCGCUGGUGCUACCGCAACAGAUGAUAAUGAGCAGCGGUCUAUACUUUCAUAUCAAAAGAAGAAGGAGGCGGAGGGAUGGUGGUAGAAAGAUGGCUCGGCAGUUAAGAGCAUGGCUGUUCUUCCAGAGGACCUGGGUU